GAUGAACGCUGGCGGCGUGCUUAACACAUGCAAGUCGAACGAUGAAGCCCAGCUUGCUGGGUGGAUUAGUGGCGAACGGGUGAGUAACACGUGAGUAACCUGCCCUUAACUCUGGGAUAAGCCUGGGAAACUGGGUCUAAUACCGGAUAGGAGCGCCUACCGCAUGGUGGGUGUUGGAAAGAUUUAUCGGUUUUGGAUGGACUCGCGGCCUAUCAGCUUGUUGGUGAGGUAAUGGCUCACCAAGGCGACGACGGGUAGCCGGCCUGAGAGGGUGACCGGCCACAUUGGGACUGAGACACGGCCCAGACUCCUACGGGAGGCAGCAGUGGGGAAUAUUGCACAAUGGGCGAAAGCCUGAUGCAGCGACGCCGCGUGAGGGAUGACGGCCUUCGGGUUGUAAACCUCUUUCAGUAGUGAAGAAGCGAAAGUGACGGUACCUGCAGAAGAAGCACCGGCUAACUACGUG
rnacentral:rRNA from 1 species